AGUCCCCUGGGCAUCUCAGCAAGGAACUCCCUCAGCGUGAUAAUUUUUUUUCCUCUUUUGUUUUUCUGUUUUGUUUUUUUUUCUUUUUUAAACCUCACUGAAUGUAGUGACUCACCGCCAUUGAAGAGAAUGAAGGAGAAUGUGCCACUUCUGAGACUGAGUCAUGGGAAGCACCGCGGCCUCCAUCUUGGAUGAGAAGCAACAAGGAACAUGUAAAUGAGAGAAGGCAGAGAGGACUGUGACAAGGAGUCUGCGACUUUAACACUUUCCUCCACUGGCACAGACCGCAGUCUGGCUUCAUUCCUGCCUCCCUCUUCAGACAGAGAGCUCCCAAACUGAGGACCUGUAUUUGUUCGUCUGGGGACCCUAAGCCCCUGAAAGAAAAUAUCUGGAAGAAUAUGGUACCCAACUGCUACAGUGGCUACUUCUGAAAAGAGAUUGGAAAGACAGAGAGGGGAUUUUCCAGUUCAGAAAAGUGAAAUCAGGUGCUG